ACCGACAAUUGAAAUAGUGUUCGUAUAAUUCCGGGGAUAGGCUCGGAAGUCUCUACGUGAUCACCGAAAUGAUCUCUCUACGAAACGGGAAAAAGCGAGC
rnacentral:ncRNA from 2 species